rfam:Triticum aestivum genome assembly, contig: Triticum_aestivum_CS42_TGACv1_scaffold_198008_3AL
AAAGUACUCCCUCCGUCCCAAAAUUCAUGUCUUUGAUUUGUCUAGAUACGGAUGUAUCAAGUCACAUUUUAGUAUUAGAUACAUCCGUAUCUAGAAAAAUCUAAGACAAGAAAUUUGGGACAGAGGGAGUAGUUG